GAAGUGCUGCAGACAAACCACAGACCCUCCACACUGAGCUACUGAGAGGAAGGAGGAGGGUUUAACUGUCGCAUUUGAGCAGAAUGAUAUCACACCUUUGUGUGCCACGAUGGGACAAACACUUCUUCUGUGGCUGCUCCUUCUAAUGUUUCUCCUCUGCUCCACAACAAAUCAAGAGAUCCUGCAGCAGCUGCCACCUCCUCAUCAGUGAGAAGAACCUCAGCAGACGGCCGACACGGAUCGAUCAGGAGAAGAGAUGUUUCAUUAGAGACAACAGUCAUCUACUCCUCACUGAAGCUGACUGACACACCUUCACCACAGCUCAGAUUCAAAAAAUGAGAUUGUUUCUUCACCUGACAAAGACGAAGAAGAAGAAGAUAUCUUUGCAACCAGCUGCAGUCACAGUCUUAAACAUAUUAAUAGACAAUGGAAAUGGCUGCACUGAACACAUACUUUAAGAAGAGGGGGGAAUAUAGGAGGACAUAAAGGAGUGGAGGAAGGCGCACACUUGGACUACAUCUUAUGCUGAGGGUAUAAUCUGAAAGAGAUUGCAAGGUGGUGUCAGGGAGAAGGUAGCUAGGCAACAUGAGAUGGUAGUGUGUGUGAUGACUUUGGACAACAGCAGGAGGAAGUGAGUGAGAGCAAAGACAAGAUUAAAUGGCGGAAGCUGAAGUCGGCGGUUUGAUUAAAUUUGGUGUAAAAUUUUGUGAAGUAAUAGGGAUUAAUAAAAAAAAAAAACAUACACAGGUUUGAAGGGAACACCAUGAAUUUAAUGUUUCCCUGUUACAGACACAGAAUAGCUGUUAGUUACAAAAACGUGAAAAGUGAAAAGUUUACUUGUUUUUUCUGUAAUUUUAAAUGUGACAUAUAAUUAAAUAAACAAUAUCAAAAUGUUUCUCAUUUAUGUAUAUUCAUUUGUUGCAUAUGAGCCCCAUCAUGUGUGUCAUUUAUAACUGUAACAUCAUUUAUUCUGAUGCAUGCAGCACUGUCACAUGUAUGGGAUAUACACAUUAUAAAUAAUUAUAAAAGGCAAAGUAAUAUUUAUAUGUGCUGUUGUAUCACUCAAGUUACACACUGUUGCAGACACACAACAAUUU
ensembl:lncRNA